GAUGAACGCUGGCGGCGUGCCUAAUACAUGCAAGUCGAGCGAACAGACGAGGAGCUUGCUCCUCUGACGUUAGCGGCGGACGGGUGAGUAACACGUGGAUAACCUACCUAUAAGACUGGGAUAACUUCGGGAAACCGGAGCUAAUCCCGGAUAAUAUAUUGAACCGCAUGGUUCAAUAGUGAAAGACGGUUUUGCUGUCACUUAUCGAUGGAUCCGCGCCGCAUGAGCUAGUUGGUAAGGUAACGGCUUACCAAGGCAACGAUGCGUAGCCGACCUGAGAGAGUGAUCGGCCACACGGGAACUGAGACACGGUCCAGACUCCUACGGGAGGCAGCAGUAGGGAAUCUUCCGCAAUGGGCGAAAGCCUGACGGAGCAACGCCGCGUGAGUGAUGAAGGUCUUCGGAGCGUAAAACUCUGUUAUUAGGGAAGAACAAAUGUGUAAGUAACUAUGCACGUCUUGACGGUACCUAAUCAGAAAGCCACGGCUAACUACGUG
rnacentral:rRNA from 1 species